rnacentral:rRNA from 1 species
CCUACGGGCGGCAGCAGUGGGGAAUAGUGGACAAUGGGGGAAACCCUGAUCCAGCGACGCCGCGUGGGUGAAGAAGUAUUUCGGUACGUAAAGCUCUAUCAGCAGGAAAGAAAAUGACGGUAGCUGACUAAGAAGCCACGGCUAACUACGUGCCAGCAGCCGCGGUAAUACGGAGGGGGCAAGCGUUAUCCGGAUUUACUGGGGGGAAAGGGAGCGUAGACGGCAGCGCAAGGCUGGAGAGAAAUGCCGGGGCCCAACCCCGGAACUGCUCUGGAAACUUUGAAGCUGGAGUGCAGGAGAGGUAAGCGGAUUUCCUGGUUUAGCGGUGACAUGCGUUGAUAUCAGGAGGAACCCCGGCGGCGCAGGCGGCUUACUUGACUGUACCUUCCGUUGCGGCUCGAAGGCGUGGGGAGCAAACAGGAUUAGCUACCCGGGUAGUC